GCCCACUCAGCUUCACGAGGUCUGUGUAUCAUCGAACAGCUGAUAGUUCAAAUGGUCAUUUGCCAUUAGAGGGCUUCGUAGGUCCAUAACUCGCGAGAACGACAAUAACGAGAUGGUGAUCGUGCGGUCGACAUCGCAAUACGACCUACGGUAAAAUAUUGUCCUGACUAGGAAGCCACCCUGGCUGAAGGUACAAAUGUGGACCCGGUUCAAAUACCAAUGGUGUCGUUUGCGACGCUAACAUUUUACCGUUUCGUCAAAAGUGUUUUCCCCUAUGCUGAGCUGUUUUUUGAGCGAGAAGCAUUUCGACGCCAUGGAGAUUGUUCUCGAACAGAUAUUGAAUUGUUCCUUCAGGUUCUGGCUAGCGCUGCUGAAACGGCUGAUUUUCUUGAGAACGUAAUCACAAUGCGUCUAACAAUAGGGGAUUCUACACGGAUAAGUUAUUCGGCUAGUGGCAUUUACGAUGCGGUCCGUCAUAUUCCUCGGCUACGUGCAAUCAUCGAGUCCUUUGUGGGAAGCUUCUCGCUGGAAAUAGUUGGCUUCGCCGAAGAAGCCCAUGGCAACUACAGCCAUGAUCUCUGCCAUGGAGAAAAGGUACAAAAUGAAAUUAUCACGGUGACCUUUCAAUAUGGCGAAAGUUCGUACGUUAUUAGCCCAAGAGAGCCUCCAGCUGAAAUUCCGCUACGGGUUGACAAUCUAUUUCCGUACGAUUUUGAGCUUCAUCUAGAGAGGAGGGCUGUGGGUAAUUCCGUCCAGCACGGGCAAGAUCGGCUGCCAGUCGAAGUUCUUCCUCUACGAGAGGUGCGGAUAACUGACGACGCGGCGACAGGUUAUGAGGAUCACACAAGCGUUGAACUUAGUUUUGCUUCAUUCAAUAGUCGGAUGUAUCGGGUUAUUGUAAACGUCAUGUGGCGUCAUCGAUAAUAAAUACAUAUUAUAGUGCUUCGAGGUAAAUGCCUGUAUGUUAAUUGUCAUAGUAUUUAUAAAAACUGGUGCUGUCUAUUGCAAGCCUUAAAGGAAAACUUUGAAAACGACUGAAAAAAAUCAUUCCUCAUAAUGAAUCGGUCAUAGGGUUUUUUAUUCGCAUAAAAAUUUCUAUUUUUUUUUUUCUUUUAAACAAGUUUUGAAUUACGUACUCGACAUUAGACGUUAGCAGUUGCCAUCAUUUGUGACGCAGGGCGUGAAGACCUAAAAACAUGAGUACCUAUCUGUCUUUCGAUUGUAAUAUUGAAGGUUUAUUUAUUUAUUUAUUUUUUUUAAUCAUUUUUCCGAUUAUCGCGUAUUACGAAAAUGUAAGUAAUGCUAAACAUAUUGUACCGAUUAGUUAGGAUAAGUUCGAUAACCCAUUUUCUGACAAUUUUAAAAAGCUACAGGCGCACAAUAGCUGCAUCGAACAGUUGUCUUUACGGUUACUAUUAUCUAUAUUUGUUAGUUCUUAUGACAAACACAGAGCCCUUUACGGCGAAGCAAGUUAAUCACUAUAUAGAACACCGGAGAGUUAUGUUACGAGUCCUAGAAUCGAAUUAAAUUUAAAAGUUUUUGAGAUAGUUCCCGUAUGGGGUUUAUUAGAGAAUACAAUUAUUUAUGGCAAGUACCUCCGCUCGUUUCCUCAAUUCAUUAAUACUCAUCGGACACUGUCUGGUCCUAAUUAUGACCAGGAAGAUCCGCGUGACAUCUGACGCGGCCGAGAGCGUGUUAACAUGUACUCCCAACUGUGCUACUGAACAGCGUUGUUACAAAACGUGACAAAUGGAGUCAUGAAUCAGCAGUACGCUGAAAAAAAGAUUCCAAACCGGGUCGUAUUCUAAAAUUGGCCGAAUAUUUUUAUAUCCAUUGGAUUGACACAUAUAGCUGUUGCUUAACUAACCUAUACGAAGUAGAAGUAUCGCUAUAAAAAAAAUAUUUAGGUUUCAGCAGAAACUGAGCUUCUAACGCGUAAACGAAUAUAUUGAAACUUAUAGUAAAUAACAAAUAACAUUUCUGUCGCAUUGCCAUAUUUAGCCUUGCCAAGCAUUCAAAAAAAGCAGAGCAAAGCGCGCCCUCCGAACAGUAAAGUUGCUACCUACGUAAAAAAACUAAUGAUGACAACCGAGGAUGCCGAGAUGCAGAAUUACAAAUGAAUCUAUACGAUUAUUAAGUCAUUUAUUGAGCUAUGAAAACAAUUCUGUUUCAAUUAGCCGUUCUGAUCAUUCAUAACUUAAAAGUUGCCCACAUGGCACAGUUUUAUAAUAAAAAAAAAUGUAAAUUACACAUGAAGUCCAUUUCCUCUAGUGUAAUGCUCGAUACCCAACUCACUGCGGUUCAAGCUGAUGAACUGAUCGUAGGUUAUUUGCAAUUUCUCCUAAAGAUCGUUACUUCGAAUUAUACACCUCAUCGUAGAACAAAUAAAAUGAUCUAAGAACGCCUUUUUAAAGAAACCCACAGUAAAUUCGACAAUAAAUAAAUGGUCUAUGCUAGCUAGAAUUAAUAAUUAGGCAAAACUGACCGAGAUACCAUUUAUAUCUGAUUUGUUUUUUUCACUGUCGAACUUUAUUUCGUACCAAAGAAAUUAAAAAAGAUUUAAAAAAAUGCGCUUGAGAAGUUCUAAGGACACUUCGGAGUUUAAAUAGCGUGCAUUGAAUAGUUAAGUAUUUAUCUAUAAUGGUGUUCCAAAUUAAAGAUUGUCUUUCACAGAACGUAUCUAUAAGACAUUUGGUUUUAUCUCCAAACAAUUGUCUUUGCUAACUAUAUUUUCUUUUUUUUUGGCAAAAGAAAAUAUUAUCUGAAAAUCUGAAUAGUAUUUAGGCAGCAACAUCGCCCAGGUUACUAAAAAUCAACUAUUGUGUUGAAAUUUACCGUGUUCUUGCUUUCGUUGAGUAAUAAUAUUAAAAUAUCUGACUGUUACCUGACAAACCUGAAUAGAUAUAACUGAUCUAUAUCAAAUGAAUAUUGCUCUUCUGAUUAAUUUCCAGCUGUUUAACUAGGAACUAUAUGGAAGACGACAAGUUAAUUGUAUUUUAGUACAUCGUUCCUCACUGUGUUCAAAGCGUCCGGUAAAAGUGUCCUUAGGCAAACGUACAUAUAUUCCGGCUAUAUAAAUUGAACCAAUUAGUUCGAGCAUGUAUGCGUCGAAUAGACAUCUUGGUCCAGCAAUUGGUCAUCAUCGGGGGUCUAGGCAUAAUGAUGCUUCAAAUUUUCCAUCAGGUUUAACUGCCGACUAGAAACCUGGCCUGCUCCCAGUCGAAAAGAGGCACAUCUAUGCCUUCCCUAAAUUUGUUAAGGGAAAACAUGGUCUUAUCGUGUCCUCAUUGAGACAUGCUGUGCUGAGUGCAUACGCUACGGCGGAAUACAACACCGACAAAUUGUGAUACACAUAUUCCAUAUGGACACUCCCUAUAGACACAACUGUGUGGGCUCUAUUCGAACGCACAAAUGUCCACACGGAUCGCUAACGGCCAAUAGCUGCUAAAUAGCCCUCACCCACGAAGUUGUCCAUACGCUCUCAGUUUAUUCAAGGUUUACGUGUUCGCAGCAAAUGUUAUCUACGAAAGGGGUCCGUCGUUUAAGAAACGACGAUCACACGACGAGUCAAACGAAUCUCAAUGGACGGCAUAUCCAUUUUUCUUCAUUGUUAACGUAGUGCCACUGGGUGCUAUGGAAGAAAACAGUGUCAUAAAUAGGCAACUGCUUUCAUGAGUUAAGUGUGUCACUACGCUAGGCCGUAAGUGAUGACUAAGAACAAAUGGCGCGUUCCAGGUUCUACCUUCAAUGGUGACAGGACAAGUUCCCAGCUCCAAAAGCGUUCGCUUUCGCAGUCGUCAGUAAAGAAGGUAUCAACUCUAUCGAGCAAUAGAGUUUCCCGCUUCAGUCGACGGCGCCUGCAAUCAAAAUGCUUGCAGCAUUCGCGCCGUCAAUAAUUUGCGUCAUAGCUGCGUUCUCCUGUUUCAUGUUAACAGGAGCCAUAAGCCUUUCAAGAUGGGUAAUAGAACGAUUUGGUCGUGGCGGGCCAAACAGGGCGGACCGGAUCUGGAUCGAGGUCGUUAAGAAUGCGGUGCCUGUACCAGCAGCUAAUCUCUCACAGAUCUGCAUCGAUAUACCAGAUACAAGCAAAAAAUACCACUCAAUCUACGGCCCGCAUUGUACGUACCAACAACCAAUGAUCCAUCCGUUUGAUAUUGACGUUUCCACGGAUUUCUGUUAAUGUCUAUGAAAUAAAAUCACGCAGAGGCAUCAAUCAAUGAAAAUCGUCGCGUUGGAGAAACGAGGGUGGUGGUCUUGGGGUCUACAGAUACAUCGGUAUACCCUUGUAGCUCCUCAAAACAACUUCUCAAUAUCUAGCAGGGAUAUACAACUUGUAAGCGAUCCUUUUUGGGACAACUUCGGCUCGGCGAGUGUUUCUACGAAUGCUGACGCUUCUAAACGAAAAAGCUGUUCAACGAUGUUGUUAUAAAAGCCUCUAUACGUCUGUGAUCACAGUGAAACCACAUUAUAAAAGAACGGCUAUCGAAGUUAACUGAAAAUGGCGAAUGUCCUCCUAUGAUUUGGUUUCCAGUGGUCGAACAUUAUCGAGUUAGUCGAGCAGCCGUUGAAAAUUCACGCGUUUACAUGGUCGGUUUGUCCGACUGCUCCCUAUUACUAUCUAUCAAUUUGUUGGUUAUCAAACUUCAUUAAAAAAUCACGUUGUCCAUUUUUUUAAUGAAUUACGUGCGCCUAUAAAGCAUCACGGAAGACUCUCUAUGAACGCCUACAAAUGAAUGAAUGCAUCACUUGUGCAAACUAUUCUCAGAAUUCAUACAAAAAAAAUGAAUUUCUGCAUUGUGACUUGUUUAACUCUACGCGGAAGUCAAUGAUAACUUGGUCUUUGAGGAGGAUGGAAGCGUUAGUUUUGCAAUUAGAACAAUGACCAUAGAUAACAUGCGAGCUUAAUGUUCACUAGCCGUCUAUGAACUGUUUCUCCGUGUAAUAAAUGUGCGGAAAAGUCAAUGAUGUGCGUA